rnacentral:rRNA from 1 species
UACGUAGGGUGCGAGCGUUAAUCGGAAUUACUGGGCGUAAAGCGUGCGCAGGCGGUUCCCCAAGUCCGUUGUGAAAGCCCCGGGCUCAACCUGGGAAUGGCAGUGGAAACUAGGGGACUGGAAUCUGGCAGAGGGGGGUGGAAUGCCGCGUGUAGCAGUGAAAUGCGUAGAGAUGCGGCGGAACACCGAUGGCGAAGGCAGCCCCCUGGGCUGAGAUUGACGCUCAGGCACGAAAGCGUGGGGAGCAAACAGG